UUGAAUUCAGAGUAAAAUGUUUCUCAUUUUGGGUGGUGGGCAAGGCAGUGAUGCUCGAUGAAAUCAUAAACUAUAUCAACUAUGUCAGGUGCAGCUGAAGGCUCACACUUCAGUCGCCUCAAUCCCCGGCAUGCAGAGUAGAUUUAUUUUCAUGUGAGUGCUGCAAUUAAAAUAGCCGCUCUUGUUCUAUGACAAAAAUCAAGGGCCUUAUUUUCAUGAGCUGCAAUUGUUAGUGCUCAGUACACUCGAACCAUAUCAACUAUAUGGGGGAAAGAAUGUUACUAAUUUGUGACGAAGUAGCAUCUUUGGUGAAGAAUUUCACGAUGAAACAUCGCAGGCAGAUAGUAAUGGAAGGUUGACAUUCAUUUGCAGAUAAGGACGUGCCAAGAAUGGAGGAACAAAACCAUGAAGACUACAACUGAGAGCCGUAGUUGGCCGAGUCGUUUAAGCAGAACAUGCCUUUUUAACACAGAGAAGGUAAUAUGUCUUAGUGGCAUAAUACACAAAUCUUAAAAGUUCUUUAAUGGCAUAAUCAAGACAAUCACAAUAAGCUAGAUAAGGUUUUAAACCUGAACUGAAGUCAUGCAGUUGACGACAGUUCCAAAUUUGUUCCCCACAGCCAAACCAAGAACCAAGUCCUCACACAGAGAAGAAUCAGGCACGGGCUUCAGGCCAAGCUCCUGCUACACCAGUAUCUGCCAUCAUUACUCUGCAUAACAGCACACAAAAAUGUGAGAUAUAUGUAUUCUACAAAGCUCUCCAGGAAGAAAGCAUUGUAUUUUCGCUUGUUUGCAUACCCGUUAACGAGGGAGAUGCAUAUUUGUCACAGUUUUACAUGUUAUUUAGCCUUUUCUUGUAG
rnacentral:lncRNA from 1 species